rnacentral:rRNA from 1 species
CCUACGGGAGGCAGCAGUGGGGAAUAUUGCGCAAUGGAGGGAACUCUGACGCAGCGACGUCGCGUGAGCGAAGAAGGUCUUCGGAUCGUAAAGCUCUGUCUUUGGGGAAGAAGGAAGUGACGGUACCCAAGGAGGAAGCCCCGGCUAACUACGUGCCAGCAGCCGCGGUAACACGUAGGGGGCAAGCGUUGUCCGGAAUCACUGGGCGUAAAGGGUGCGUAGGCGGUAUGCCAAGUCAGGUGUGAAACCCCAUGGCUCAACUGUGGGCUUGCACAUGAAACUGGUAUGCUUGAGUGCAGGAGAGGAAAGCGGAAUUCCUAGUGUAGCGGUGAAAUGCGUAGAUAUUAGGAGGAACACCAGUAGCGAAGGCGGCUUUCUGGACUGUAACUGACGCUGAGGCACGAAAGCGUGGGGAGCAAACAGGAUUAGAUACCCUGGUAGUCCACGCUGUAAACUAUGGAUACUAGGUGUAGGGGGUCAGACCUCUGUGCCGGAGUUAACGCAUUAAGUAUCCCGCCUGGGGACUACGGCCGCAAGGCUGAAACUCAAAUGAAUUGACGG